rnacentral:rRNA from 1 species
AGCAGCCGCGGUAAUUCCAGCUCCAAUAGCGUAUAUUAAAGUUGUUGCAGUUAAAAAGCUCGUAGUUGAAUUUCGGGAUCAAUUUAUUGGUCGUGCCAACGGUACGCACUGGUACAAUUGGUUUCUCCCUUCUGACGAAGCAUGAUGUCAUUAACUUGAUGUCGUGGGGAAUCAGGACUGUUACUUUGAAAAAAUUAGAGUGUUUAAAGCAGGCUUUGGCUUGAAUACAUUAGCAUGGAAUAAUGAAAUAGGACGGUUGAUCUUAUUUCGUUGGUUUCUAAGAUCGACGUAAUGAUUAAUAGGGAUAGUUGGGGGCAUUAGUAUUCAAUUGUCAGAGGUGAAAUUCUUGGAUUUAUUGAAGACUAACUACUGCGAAAGCAUUUGCCAAGGAUGUUUUCAUUAAUCAAGAACGAAAGUUAGGGGAUCGAAGACGAUCAGAUACCGUCGUAGUCUUAACCAUAAACUAUGCCGACUAGGGAUCGGAUGAUGUUAAUUUUUUAAUGACUCAUUCGGCGCCUUACG